rnacentral:rRNA from 1 species
UACGGAGGAUCCAAGCGUUAUCCGGACUUAUUGGGUUUAAAGGGUGCGUAGGCGGCUUAUUAAGUCAGGGGUGAAAGACGGUGGCUCAACCAUCGCAGUGCCUUUGAUACUGAUGAGCUUGAAUACACUAGAGGUAGGCGGAAUGUGACAAGUAGCGGUGAAAUGCAUAGAUAUGACAUAGAACACCCAUUGCGAAGGCAGCUCGCUACACUAUCAUUGACGCUGAGGCACGAAAGCGUGGGGAUCAAACAGG